UACGGAGGGUGCAAGCGUUGUCCGGAUUUAUUGGGGUUAAAGGGUGCGUAGGCGGCCUUGUAAGUCAGGGGUGAAAGACGGUAGCUCAACUAUCGCAGUGCCUUUGAUACUGCAGGGCUUGAAUGUACUUGAGGUAGGCGGAAUGUGACAAGUAGCGGUGAAAUGCAUAGAUAUGUCACAGAACACCAAUUGCGAAGGCAGCUUACUAAAGUAUGAUUGACGCUGAGGCACGAAAGCGUGGGGAUCAAACAGG
rnacentral:rRNA from 1 species